AUUCUUACCUGGCAGGGGAGGUACCAUAAUCAAAAACAUGGUUUUCCCAGAGCAAGGCUGAUCGAUUGCAUUUCAGAUAUGCACGGUGAUUUCCCCAAAUGUGGGAAACUCCACUGCAUAAUUUGUGGUAGUGGGGAACUGUGUUCAUACUUUCCCCUG
ensembl:snRNA U1 U1 spliceosomal RNA